rnacentral:rRNA from 1 species
AUUGAACGCUGGCGGCAUGCCUUACACAUGCAAGUCGAACGGCAGCACGGGUGCUUGCACCUGGUGGCGAGUGGCGAACGGGUGAGUAAUACAUCGGAACGUACCUUAUCGUGGGGGAUAACGCAGCGAAAGCUGUGCUAAUACCGCAUACGCCCUGAGGGGGAAAGCGGGGGAUCGCAAGACCUCGCGCGAUUAGAGAGGCCGAUGCCUGAUUAGCUUGUUGGUGGGGUAAAAGCCCACCAAGGCGACGAUCAGUAGCUGGUCUGAGAGGACGAUCAGCCACACUGGGACUGAGACACGGCCCAGACUCCUACGGGAGGCAGCAGUGGGGAAUUUUGGACAAUGGGGGCAACCCUGAUCCAGCAAUGCCGCGUGAGUGAAGAAGGCCUUCGGGUUGUAAAGCUCUUUUGUCAGGGAAGAAACACCGGCUCUAACACAGUCCGGGAAUGACGGUACCUGAAGAAUAAGCACCGGCUAACAACGUGCCAGCAGCCGCGGUAA